GAAAAUGCAGGCUAUUGUUUUCUGUAUACAGUGUUCUUUUAAACUUUAGGAAAAUUAUAUUCAAUUUGUUUGGUGGACUAUUAUCACUGGUUCGGUAAAUGAUGAGACAAGG